UACGUAGGGCGCAAGCGUUGUCCGGAAUUAUUGGGCGUAAAGAGCUCGUAGGCGGCUUGUCACGUCGGAUGUGAAAGCCCGGGGCUUAACUCCGGGUCUGCAUUCGAUACGGGCUGGCUAGAGUGUGGUAGGGGAGAUCGGAAUUCCUGGUGUAGCGGUGAAAUGCGCAGAUAUCAGGAGGAACACCGGUGGCGAAGGCGGAUCUCUGGGCCAUUACUGACGCUGAGGGGCGAAAGCGUGGGGAGCGAACAGG
rnacentral:rRNA from 1 species